rnacentral:lncRNA from 1 species
ACAAUUCUACACUCUCCUCUCUUCUACUUCUAAUUCUCCUCCAUUCUUUAUGUGCUAUUGCUCUUGCUCUAUAAUUCUUUAGCUAUUCUCUUGCUUAUUCAAUUGCUUUACUUUAUUGUUCUUGCUUUACAUUAUAUUACUACUAGUACUACUAUUAAGUACUAAAUACUAUACUAUACUAUAUAUUUCAAUUACACUAUCACUACACUCACUUGCUCCUUUACUUUAUUGUUCUUGCUUUACAUUAUAUUA